rnacentral:rRNA from 1 species
UAGGCGACGAAGUGGUUGAUACCAUGCUUCCAAGAAAAGCUCCUAAGCUUCAGAUAACUGGGAACCGUACCCCAAACCGACACAGGUGGUUAGGUAGAGAAUACCAAGGCGCUUGAGAGAACUCGGGUGAAGGAACUAGGCAAAAUGGCACCGUAACUUCGGGAGAAGGUGCGCCGGCGAGGGUGAAGGACUUGCUCCGUAAGCUCAUGCCGGUCGAAGAUACCAGGCCGCUGCGACUGUUUAUUAAAAACACAGCACUCUGCAAACACGAAAGUGGACGUAUAGGGUGUGACGCCUGCCCGGUGCCGGAAGGUUAAUUGAUGGGGUUAGCGCAAGCGAAGCUCUUGAUCGAAGCCCCGGUAAACGGCGGCCGUAACUAUAACGGUCCUAAGGUAGCGAAAUUCCUUGUCGGGUAAGUUCCGACCUGCACGAAUGGCGUAACGAUGGCGGCGCUGUCUCCACCCGAGACUCAGUGAAAUUGAAAUCGCUGUGAAGAUGCAGUGUAUCCGCGGCUAGACGGAAAGACCCCGUGAACCUUUACUAUAGCUUUGCACUGGACUUUGAAUUUGCUUGUGUAGGAUAGGUGGGAGGCUUUGAAGUGGGGACGCCAGUUCUCAUGGAGCCAUCCUUGAAAUACCACCCUGGCAACUUUGAGGUUCUAACUCAGGUCCGUUAUCCGGAUCGAGGACAGUGUAUGGUGGGUAGUUUGACUGGGGCGGUCUCCUCCCAAAGAGUAACGGAGGAGUACGAAGGUGCGCUCAGACCGGUCGGAAAUCGGUCGUAGAGUAUAAAGGCAAAAGCGCGCUUGACUGCGAGACAAACACGUCGAGCAGGUACGAAAGUAGGUCUUAGUGAUCCGGUGGUUCUGUAUGGAAGGGCCAUCGCUCAACGGAUAAAAGGUACUCCGGGGAUAACAGGCUGAUACCGCCCAAGAGUUCAUAUCGACGGCGGUGUUUGGCACCUCGAUGUCGGCUCAUCACAUCCUGGGGCUGAAGCCGGUCCCAAGGGUAUGGCUGUUCGCCAUUUAAAGUGGUACGCGAGCUGGGUUUAGAACGUCGUGAGACAGUUCGGUCCCUAUCUGCCGUGGACGUUUGAGAUUUGAGAGGGGCUGCUCCUAGUACGAGAGGACCGGAGUGGACGAACCUCUGGUGUUCCGGUUGUCACGCCAGUGGCAUUGCCGGGUAGCUAUGUUCGGAAGAGAUAACCGCUGAAAGCAUCUAAGCGGGAAACUUGCCUCAAGAUGAGAUCUCACUGGGAUCUUGAAUCCCCUAAAGGGCCGUCGAAGACUACGACGUUGAUAGGUUGGGUGUGUAAGCGCUGUGAGGCGUUGAGCUAACCAAUACUAAUUGCCCGUGAGGCUUGACCAUAUAACACCCAAGCAAUU